rnacentral:rRNA from 1 species
GAUGAACGCUGGCGGCGUGCCUAAUACAUGCAAGUCGAGCGAACAGACGAGGCUCUUGCUCCUCUGACGUUAGCGGCGGGCGGGUGAGUAACACGUGGAUAACCUACCUAUAAGACUGGGAUAACUUCGGGAAACCGGAUCUAAUACCGGAUAAUAUCUUGAACCGCAUGGUUCAUUAGUGAAAGACGGUUUUGCUGUCACUUCUCGCUGGAUCCCCGCCGCAUUAGCUAGUUGGUAAGGUAACGGCUUACCAAGGCAACGAUGCGUAGCCGACCUGAGAGGGUGAUCGGCCACACUGGAACUGAGACACGGUCCAGACUCCUACGGGAGGCAGCAGUAGGGAAUCUUCCGCAAUGGGCGAAAGCCUGACGGAGCAACGCCGCGUGAGUGAUGAAGGUCUUCGGAUCGUAAAACUCUGUUAUUAGGGAAGAACAAAUGUGUAAGUAACUAUGCACGUCUUGACGGUACCUAAUCAGAAAGCCACGGCUAACUACGUG